GGGAUAACUCCGGGAAACCGGAGCUAAUACCGGAUAGUUCCUUGAACCGCAUGGUUCAAGGAUGAAAGACGGUUUCGGCUGUCACUUACAGAUGGACCCGCGGCGCAUUAGCUAGUUGGUGGGGUAAUGGCUCACCAAGGCGACGAUGCGUAGCCGACCUGAGAGGGUGAUCGGCCACACUGGGACUGAGACACGGCCCAGACUCCUACGGGAGGCAGCAGUAGGGAAUCUUCCGCAAUGGACGAAAGUCUGACGGAGCAACGCCGCGUGAGUGAUGAAGGUUUUCGGAUCGUAAAGCUCUGUUGUUAGGGAAGAACAAGUGCGAGAGUAACUGCUCGCACCUUGACGGUACCUAACCAGAAAGCCACGGCUAACUACGUGCCAGCAGCCGCGGUAAUACGUAGGUGGCAAGCGUUGUCCGGAAUUAUUGGGCGUAAAGGGCUCGCAGGCGGUUUCUUAAGUCUGAUGUGAAAGCCCCCGGCUCAACCGGGGAGGGUCAU
rnacentral:rRNA from 1 species